GGUUGUGGCUUAGUGGUAGAGCGCUUGCCUAGCUGCAUGAAGGUACUGGGUUUGAUCCCCGGCACCA
rnacentral:tRNA from 1 species